GUCCCUGUAGCGUUGUGGAUAGCGCGUUGGACUUCUAAUCCAAAGGUUGUGGAUUCGAAUCCCAUCUGGGAAG